GUCUACGGCCAUACCACCCUGAACGCGCCCGAUCUCGUCUGAUCUCGGAAGCUAAGCAGGGUCGGGCCUGGUUAGUACUUGGAUGGGAGAGGGUAGAUAACGUGAAUUUUAGAUU
ensembl:rRNA 5S_rRNA 5S ribosomal RNA